AUUGAACGCUGGCGGCAGGCCUAACACAUGCAAGUCGAACGAGUGGGGGGCGGGUGUGAAAUGUCUGGGACAGUGCGCGAGGGAGGGGGAUAACUACUGGAAACGGGAGCUAAUACCGCAUACCAUCGGAUGUGCCCAGAUGGGAUUAGCUAGUAGGUGGGGUAACGGCUCACCUAGGCGACGAUCCCUAGCUGGUCUGAGAGGAUGACCAGCCACACUGGAACUGAGACACGGCCCAGACUCCUACGGGAGGCAGCAGUGGGGAAUAUUGCACAAUGGGCGCAAGCCUGAUGCAGCCAUGCCGCGUGUAUGAAGAAGGCCUUCGGGUUGUAAAGUACUUUCAGCGGGGAGGCGUUACUCACAGAAGAAGCACCGGCUAACUCCGUGCCAGCAGCCGCGGUAAUUC
rnacentral:rRNA from 1 species